rnacentral:rRNA from 1 species
GCAAGUCGAGCGAACAGAUAAGGAGCUUGCUCCUUUGACGUUAGCGGCGGACGGGUGAGUAACACGUGGGUAACCUACCUAUAAGACUGGGAUAACUUCGGGAAACCGGAGCUAAUACCGGAUAACAUUUGGAACCGCAUGGUUCUAAAGUGAAAGAUGGUUUUGCUAUCACUUAUAGAUGGACCCGCGCCGUAUUAGCUAGUUGGUAAGGUAACGGCUUACCAAGGCGACGAUACGUAGCCGACCUGAGAGGGUGAUCGGCCACACUGGAACUGAGACACGGUCCAGACUCCUACGGGAGGCAGCAGUAGGGAAUCUUCCGCAAUGGGCGAAAGCCUGACGGAGCAACGCCGCGUGAGUGAUGAAGGGUUUCGGCUCGUAAAACUCUGUUAUUAGGGAAGAACAAACGUGUAAGUAACUGUGCACGUCUUGACGGUACCUAAUCAGAAAGCCACGGCUAACUACGUGCCAGCAGCCGCGGUAAUACGUAGGUGGCAAGCGUUAUCCGGAAUUAUUGGGCGUAAAGCGCGCGUAGGCGGUUUCUUAAGUCUGAUGUGAAAGCCCACGGCUCAACCGUGGAGGGUCAUUGGAAACUGGGAAACUUGAGUGCAGAAGAGGAAAGUGGAAUUCCAUGUGUAGCGGUGAAAUGCGCAGAGAUAUGGAGGAACACCAGUGGCGAAGGCGACUUUCUGGUCUGUAACUGACGCUGAUGUGCGAAAGCGUGGGGAUCAAACAGGAUUAGAUACCCUGGUAGUCCACGCCGUAAACGAUGAGUGCUAAGUGUUAGGGGGUUUCCGCCCCUUAGUGCUGCAGCUAACGCAUUAAGCACUCCGCCUGGGGAGUACGACCGCAAGGUUGAAACUCAAAGGAAUUGACGGGGACCCGCACAAGCGGUGGAGCAUGUGGUUUAAUUCGAAGCAACGCGAAGAACCUUACCAAAUCUUGACAUCCUUUGAAAACUCUAGAGAUAGAGCCUUCCCCUUCGGGGGACAAAGUGACAGGUGGUGCAUGGUUGUCGUCAGCUCGUGUCGUGAGAUGUUGGGUUAAGUCCCGCAACGAGCGCAACCCUUAAGCUUAGUUGCCAUCAUUAAGUUGGGCACUCUAGGUUGACUGCCGGUGACAAACCGGAGGAAGGUGGGGAUGACGUCAAAUCAUCAUGCCCCUUAUGAUUUGGGCUACACACGUGCUACAAUGGACAAUACAAAGGGCAGCUAAACCGCGAGGUCAUGCAAAUCCCAUAAAGUUGUUCUCAGUUCGGAUUGUAGUCUGCAACUCGACUACAUGAAGCUGGAAUCGCUAGUAAUCGUAGAUCAGCAUGCUACGGUGAAUACGUUCCCGGGUCUUGUACACACCGCCCGUCACACCACGAGAGUUUGUAACACCCGAAGCCGGUGGAGUAACCAUUUAUGGAGCUAGCCG